rnacentral:rRNA from 1 species
ACUACGGGAGGCAGCAGUGAGGAAUAUUGGUCAAUGGCCGGAAGGCUGAACCAGCCAAGCCGCGUUAGGGCGGAAGGCGCAGAGCGUCGCAUACCUCUUUUGCCGAGGGACAAAAGGCCGGACUCGUCCGGUCCUGCGGGUACCCGGAGAAAAAGCAUCGGCUAACUCCGUGCCAGCAGCCGCGGUAAUACGGAGGAUGCGAGCGUUAUCCGGAUUCAGUGGGUUUAAAGGGUGCGCAGGCGGGCCUUUCACCCGGCGGUGAAAGCGCGGGGCUCAACCCCGCCGAGCCGGCGGCACUGGGUGCGUUGAGUGCGGCGGAGGCAUGCGGAAUGCGCGGGGUAGCGGU